UUAUUUGUAGCCAGUGCUAAGGCAAUGCUGCUGGGCACCUCACUGACAGGAACACUGUGCUCAACAGAAAAGACCCUCAUCAUUGGUGGGAAGCUGAUCUUCAUCAUUUCCCUACAGUCCUGUUUACUGGGCUCAGCAGAAGCAGAAGGCACAGGACUGAAUGCAGUCUGUAGUAUGUUGCCACCAAUACUUGAAUAUUGCUAUAGCCACCUCAAUAACUCUCUGAAGCUAUUCAAAUGUCUCUCUGAACGACAGGCUUUUGCACAAGGCAGGACGGAGCACUGCUGGGAUGUGACUUGUUCAGGUGACAGAGGCUCUAAGAUGCCAAGUGUUCCCACAGAACUGUGAAUAUCCUGGGAGUUGCUGCCUACACUUUUUGGUUUUUGCUGUCUUUUCUACUAACUACUCAGGAACUCAACAAUUCAUUACGUGGCUUUCUAACAAGUUACUGGCUCAAAAAAAUGUCCAAAGAAGAAUCAACAGGACAGGCUUUAAGUCCUCUAAGACUCUACGAUCUUUGCCAAAGUAGGUCAAAGCGUUGCACAUCAGUUUUAACAAAACUCCUGGAAGAGUCCUGAAAGAGUUAUAGGUUGAAGUACCUGAGAGAGACUUUCCAGAACUUGGCUCUGCUGUAAGACGCAACCUCAUCAGCUGACUACAAAUACUGGUGAAAAUGGAGAAGUGAGGGAAAAGAAGACAAUAACAGCGAUGAAACCACGACGUUGGUUUGGUUGGUAAUGCAUCAGACAUGGAAUGGAAGAGGAUUUGCUUUUAUCCAUUGUUUCUGUACUGUGUUGUGAUGCAUGCGGUCUGUAUAGUUUAAAGUGAUGAUAAAAGCUUCUAUAAAUGUUUCAUAAAAGCUGAAUUUGAAUGCAAUCCUUAAUUAAAGUAGAGAGGGACUACCUACUUGGCUCCAUUCCCCAAGUGCAGGUAUAAUGAAUGUUUUAAAAUGACUUCUCCAGAUGAUCUGCAAAGAUACCAUUUUGAGGAUAUUGGCAUUGGAACAAACAUAAGGGAAAUCAAUUAAAAAAAAAAAAAAGAAGAA
ensembl:lncRNA